rnacentral:rRNA from 1 species
CCCUUAGAUGUUCUGGGCCGCACGCGCGCUACACUGUUCGACGCAGCGAGUCUUAACCUUGACCGAAAGGUACGGGUAAUCUUUUGAAACUUCGUCGUGCUGGGGAUAGAUCCUUGCAAUUUUUGAUCUUAAACGAGGAAUGCCUAGUAAGCGCAAGUCAUCAACUUGCGUUGAUUACGUCCCUGCCCUUUGUACACACCGCCCGUCGCUACUACCGAUUGAAUGGUUUAGUGAGGCCUUCGGAUCCGCGACUCGUUUGUGGAGAAGUUGGACAAACUCAGUCAUUUAGAGGAAGUAAAAGUCGUAACA